rnacentral:tRNA from 1 species
CCUUCUGUAGCAUAAAGGUAAUGCCCUAGGUUGUGGGCCUAGUUAAGACGGAUCAGUACCGUCCAGAGGGACAA